GUUUAAAUCCUGACUGGCUGAUCUAUGGUAUUUAUGGUAUUUGACACCGUAUUCCAUGGAUAUGACAUCAUAUCAUCUUAUCCCAUUGGUAACUGAUUUAUAAGAACAUUAAGGCAUCUCAGGGUUUUGUGAUAAAUUACCAAUAUACCACGGCUAGGUGCUGAGUCCGGUCACUCAGUGAUGUGUUGCACUAAGUACAGAUCUUAGCCGUGGUAUAUUGGCCUUUAUCGUGCCUUACUCACUGUUCCCUUCAGUCCUUAACCUAAAACAUAACAAAGGCCCAGGACUUUGUUGAGCUUAAGUUUGUGCCUAACCCUUUUUUUAUGUAAAAAGUAAUAUCUGAAUAUUUUAUUAGCUCUUACUUGUUUUUUGUUUAUCCCCCUGACACAACACGCCAGCUGGUUGUCUGAAAAACAGAGGACGUCUGGCAGAAGUGGCUUAAACUCGACACUCUACCAGGCACAUACAGAUCCCUCCCUGUCUUACAAUCUCCAGAUGUCAUGGACCGCCUCCUACUGGGGCUGCAGAAGAGCAACAGAGAACAAGUUGCUAGUUGCACUGUUGGCACUCCACCAGGGUGAAAAUGUAACGUUCACAUGCUCACUACAUGUGACCUUAUGUCUUGGUCAAAGCCUACAGUGUUUUGUGAAUUAGCUGCAAUCACAGAAAUGUGUCGUGACUCACAGCAUUUUGAAUAGCAUUUGUUUAGGAAGAGUAAACGCUGUUAAUAAUGCUCCUGUUGUCUUUUUCCAGGCCAGAUGGUGUGAAAAUAUUUUAAAUAAACCUUGUUACGUGAAAAAAAAUCACAAAGGUUUUGCUAGUACAUUUCAUGUUCUUAACCUUUCUGUGAUAUAUCUGUAUGCCUAGUAGAACACGAUUCACAGAAUAUACUUGAAUUUUGAUUUGUUUGACAUUUUAUUGGUUUCAACAUGAUUCCAUAUGUGUUAUUUUAUAGUUUUGCUGUUUCCACUAUUAUUCUACAAUGUGUAAAAUAAUAAAACUAAAUAAAUACCUUUAUGUAUAUGUGUAUUCUACA
ensembl:lncRNA